CCCGCUGAACUUAAGCAUAUCAAUAAGCGGAGGAAAAGAAACCAACAGGGAUUGCCCCAGUAACGGCGAGUGAAGCGGCAACAGCUCAAAUUUGAAAUCUGGCCCCCAGGGUCCGAGUUGUAAUUUGCAGAGGAUGCUUUUGGCGAGGUGCCUUCCGAGUUCCCUGGAACGGGACGCCAUAGAGGGUGAGAGCCCCGUCUGGUUGGACACCGAGCCUCUGUAAAGCUCCUUCGACGAGUCGAGUAGUUUGGGAAUGCUGCUCUAAAUGGGAGGUAUAUGUCUUCUAAAGCUAAAUAUUGGUCAGAGACCGAUAGCGCACAAGUAGAGUGAUCGAAAGAUGAAAAGCACUUUGAAAAGAGGGUUAAAUAGUACGUGAAAUUGUUGAAAGGGAAGCGCUCAUGACCAGACUUGGGCCCGGUGAAUCAUCCAGCGUUCUCGCUGGUGCACUUUGCCGGGCUCAGGCCAGCAUCAGUUUGCUCCGGGGGGUAAAGGCUUUGGGAAUGUGGCUCCUCCGGGAGUGUUAUAGCCCAUUGCACAAUACCCUGGGGCGGACUGAGGUUCGCGCAUUUAUGCAAGGAUGCUGGCGUAAUGGUCAUCAGCGACCCGUCUUGAAACACGG
rnacentral:rRNA from 1 species